UAUAUAUAUAUAUAUAUAUAUACUAAAUUUGGUUGUUGGCCUGUUAGAACUUAGAAAUCUGAUCUCAGUUAAGCAUAUGGUGAUUUGAAGUCCUUUUCUGUACAAGUUUGAUUAGUCGUUGAGUUGCGGACUCUCUGGGGUUUGAAAUGGAUUACCGUAUAUGAUUUAUUUAUUUUUAUUGCCUAGGGAUUUCCUUGUAUUUUGAUCGGCUAUGUUGAUAUUCUGUUUGGUUAGUGGGAAAUGUCGGGAAUUAGGAGGAAUCGGAAAUUGGAAUUUUGUAAUUCAACAGUUUGUUUUGAAAUUUCGGGUUUGAGUUGUUGCUCUCUCUCUCUCUUCCCCCCUCCCUCCUCCCCCCCUCCCCUCUUGAUAAAAUUUUAUUAUAGUUAGUAAUGAUGAUGAUAGCUCAAGCUGUUGUCCUUUGUUUGAGUUUUGGGAGGAAGUAAAACAGGCAUGUAAAUUUGAGAACAGCUUUGCGCUAUUUGUAUAUUAUUUGUCAUUUGGAGGAACCUUUUACACAUCUGUGGAACCAAAGCAUGUUUGGGCUAUUGCAUUUUUCUCUUACUAGUGGUGAAUUACCAUACCAGUUA
rnacentral:misc_RNA from 1 species